rnacentral:lncRNA from 1 species
CUGAAUCUUCUUUUCUAGUGGGGACUGGGAACCUACUGCAAUCCGAGGGUCUUGAGUCUUUUUGGCCCAGGCCAGU